rnacentral:rRNA from 1 species
CAAGUGGCGAGGCUACCAUGCAAGUCGAGCGGUAGAGAGAAGCUUGCUUCUCUUGAGAGCGGCGGACGGGUGAGUAAUGCCUAGGAAUCUGCCUGGUAGUGGGGGAUAACGCUCGGAAACGGACGCUAAUACCGCAUACGUCCUACGGGAGAAAGCAGGGGACCUUCGGGCCUUGCGCUAUCAGAUGAGCCUAGGUCGGAUUAGCUAGUUGGUGAGGUAAUGGCUCACCAAGGCGACGAUCCGUAACUGGUCUGAGAGGAUGAUCAGUCACACUGGAACUGAGACACGGUCCAGACUCCUACGGGAGGCAGCAGUGGGGAAUAUUGGACAAUGGGCGAAAGCCUGAUCCAGCCAUGCCGCGUGUGUGAAGAAGGUCUUCGGAUUGUAAAGCACUUUAAGUUGGGAGGAAGGGCAGUUACCUAAUACGUAUCUGUUUUGACGUUACCGACAGAAUAAGCACCGGCUAACUCUGUGCCAGCAGCCGCGGUAAUACAGAGGGUGCAAGCGUUAAUCGGAAUUACUGGGCGUAAAGCGCGCGUAGGUGGUUUGUUAAGUUGGAUGUGAAAUCCCCGGGCUCAACCUGGGAACUGCAUUCAAAACUGACAAGCUAGAGUAUGGUAGAGGGUGGUGGAAUUUCCUGUGUAGCGGUGAAAUGCGUAGAUAUAGGAAGGAACACCAGUGGCGAAGGCGACCACCUGGACUGAUACUGACACUGAGGUGCGAAAGCGUGGGGAGCAAACAGGAUUAGAUACCCUGGUAGUCCACGCCGUAAACGAUGUCAACUAGCCGUUGGGAGCCUUGAGCUCUUAGUGGCGCAGCUAACGCAUUAAGUUGACCGCCUGGGGAGUACGGCCGCAAGGUUAAACUCAAAUGAAUUGACGGGGGCCCGCACAAGCGG